UCAUCUCUACGUUUCUAUCUAAGUUUGGGGUUGCUGUUGGAAUAGCAACCUUUAAGUUUGGGGUAGCUUUAUAGUACGUGAAUAGUAAGUGAAUGUCGUAUAAAAGAAAGAAAAAAAAAAGAAGAGAAAAAGAAAAAAAAAAGAGAAAAACAACAACAACAUGAAAAGAAAGAAAGAGAAAAGCGAAAAACAAUAAAAGAACAACUUUUGAAAGAGGCUACAUUCACUAUAGAUAAAAGGAAAAGAGGAUUGCAUAACCUUACAGGAAUAAUAGAAAAGAAACGUAGUGAGAGAAUGAUUUCAUGUACUCUGAACCAAAAAACCUUUGUUCAAAUUUCAUAGCCUACCUAAACCAAAGCC
rnacentral:lncRNA from 1 species